rnacentral:lncRNA from 1 species
UCAGUAAAGAGGUUCACUUUGUGAAAUUACCGGAAAAAAAAAAGAAAGUGGUCGUUCCAUCUCCCUCGGAGUGAGCGCCUUGAAAUCGGCCCUGUGGACGGCAGGCCUGGCUGACUGAACGCAGUAGGAGGCCUGCGAAGAGGUUAACUUAGAAACCAAAGUAACGGGCCGUGAGUCACACGGUGUUCCAGCACCGGCAAAGACGUGGGCAGGACGCCGUGGGCAAGACGCCAAAGCCACGACGCAGGCAUGCCCCAGAGCUCCCCAGCGUGCUUCCACCCACUGCUUAUAAGGCCGAGAAAGUAGGGGGAUCCCGCGCGCACCUUGGUCCUGUCUCCAGAAGACCUCACAACCGACAGACGAGGGUGACUGGCCAGAGCAGCCCUGAGCCCAAAUGGAAGGCCUCUGCUGAAACUGGAUGGCUUGGACUUCCUCUAAGGAGCUCCAUUAGAGCACAUGUGAACAGAAGCAUGGCAGCUCCAGUUCCAUCCAUCGAUGGCAGUGACCUCUGGGACGUGAACCUCUAUGAUCCUCAGUUUCCACUUAGGUUAAAGGACUAA